AGGCAUUCAGGCAGCGAGAGUAGAGCAGCGUAGAGCAGCACAGCUGAGCUCGUGAGGCAGGAGACUCAGCCCGAGGAAAUCGCAGAUAAGUUUUUAAUUAAAAAGAUUGAGCAGUAAAAAGAAUUAGAACUCUAAACUUAAGCUAAUAGAGUAGCUUAUCGAAAUAUUACUUAGUCUUAAUAAUCUAAGAAGAUCUUAAGAGAUAACAUGAAGGCUUAUUUAAACAGUUUGAAAAAGGAAAUGAGGAGAAAAGUAUUUGUACUGUAUAAUGGAGGCUGACCAGAGCAGUUUAGGAGAUUGUAAAGGGAGGUUUUGUGAAGUUCUAAAAGGUUCUAGUUUGAAGGUCGGCCUUGUAGAUUAAAACGAAGGUUACCUAAAUAGAAUCUAAAUGGCAUUUAAAACAGUAAAGUUGUAGAGAAUAGUUUGAAAAUGAGGUUAGGCUAGUAUUUGGAGAAAGAAGAUUAGAAAAUGGAAGUGAAAGACGA
ensembl:lincRNA Malat1 metastasis associated lung adenocarcinoma transcript 1 (non-coding RNA)